rnacentral:rRNA from 1 species
ANCACUCCGCCUGGGGAGUACGACCGCAAGGUUGAAANCUCAAAGGAAUUGACGGGGGCCCGCACAAGCGGUGGAGCAUGUGGNUUAAUUCGAAGCAACGCGAAGAACCUUACCAGGUCUUGACAUCCCUCUGAUCGCUCUAGAGAUAGAGUUUUCCUUCGGGACAGAGGUGACAGGUGGUGCAUGGUUGUCGUCANNUCGUGUCGUGAGAUGUUGGGUUAAGUCCCGCANNGAGCGCAACCCCUAUUGUUAGUUGCCAUCAUUCAGUUGGGCACUCUAGCGAGACUGCCGGUAAUAAACCGGAGGAAGGUGGGGAUGACGUCAAAUCAUCAUNCCCCUUAAGACCUGGGCUACACACGUGCUACAAUGGCUGGUACAACGAGUCGCAAGCCGGUGACGGCAAGCUAAUCUCUGAAAGCCAGUCUCAGUUCGGAUUGUAGGCUGCAACUCGCCUACAUGAAGUCGGAAUCGCUAGUAAUCGCGGAUCAGCACGCCGCGGUGAAUACGUUCCCGGGCCUUGUACACACCGCCCGUCACACCACGAGAGUUUGUAACACCCGAAGUCGGUGAGGUAACCGUAAGGAGCCAGCCNC